GGGUAGGUAGCUCAGUGCGAGAGUGUUUGCCUUGCAUGCAUGAGACCCUGAGUUCGAUUCCUCAGCCUCA
rnacentral:tRNA from 1 species